GAUGAACGCUGGCGGCGUGCCUAACACAUGCAAGUCGAACGAUGAAACCGCCCUCGGGCGGACAUGAAGUGGCGAACGGGUGAGUAACACGUGACCAACCUGCCCCUUGCUCCGGGACAACCUUGGGAAACCGAGGCUAAUACCGGAUACUCCUCGCCCCCCUCCUGGGGGGCCCGGGAAAGCCCAGACGGCAAGGGAUGGGGUCGCGGCCCAUUAGGUAGUAGGCGGGGUAACGGCCCACCUAGCCCGCGAUGGGUAGCCGGGUUGAGAGACCGACCGGCCACAUUGGGACUGAGAUACGGCCCAGACUCCUACGGGAGGCAGCAGUGGGGAAUUUUGCGCAAUGGGGGCAACCCUGACGCAGCAACGCCGCGUGCGGGACGACGGCCUUCGGGUUGUAAACCGCUUUCAGCAGGGAAGAAAUUCGACG
rnacentral:rRNA from 1 species